UCCGCACGUGACCGCCUCCGGCAAGAUGGCAUUAGCGGAGGAACGGACGGAGCCGCCACCGAUCCCAGAUGUGCGCGCGUGUAGCAGCGGGAGAGGGCUGCGUCCAGCCGCCUGGCCCACGUCGGGAAUCUGGAAGGAGGAGGCGCCCCCACUGCAAGAACGAGGUUUGAGGUGCCAAACGCGGGCUCAGGCCACUUCCCGCUGACCUCACUACCGUGCUGGGAAAUAUUACCCCACUUUACAAACUUGCCCAAAGUCCCGCUGCUGGCUGGAUUUGAAUCCAGAUUUUUUUAAACCACCACUUGAAAGACAACUGACAACCAGAGAAAGAAAAAUGUACAAAUAAAGUAUCCAUAAUACUAGG